GGGUGGAUAGCUCAGUGGUAGAGAGCAUGCUCAGCUUGCAUGAGGUCCUGGGUUCAAACCCCAGCACCUCCA
rnacentral:tRNA from 1 species